CAGUGCACUGUGGUGAAAGAACACCAUCUGGAUGACCGCAUUCCUUUGGAAUUUGUUAUGAUUUCAUCUGCGGCCUAACAAAUGGUCAAGUGUGUAAAUGUUCUGAGUGGGCUUAUAAAGGAUAUGUAUUCUUUAUUUGUUGAGCGAAGAUUCUUUCUAAAUAUCUAUUAUUAUGUCUAAAUACGACGUAUUGUUUUCAUAAUAAAUAAACACUUCUAUUGUUUGGAAAAGAGGAGUCAAAAAAGGGUCUUUUAGGAAGCUUGUCUUAUCAGAAAGGGAGGAAGAGUUCCAGAAGCAGAACCUGAGUCAGACCCUGGGAACCCAAGGGCACCAGCUUCCACCUAGGCCUGGAAAAACCGGCCCCCCUCUGACUCCCAGUCUGCAGAGGGUCUAAGGCCUGCCCAUGACCCGGCAACUGACAUGCUGAUGCUCCAUCUAGCAGGGGGCCUCCAAGACCCUGUUCCAGGUGUGGUGGCAUUUCUUUAGAUUGGUUGGCACCCCUGCUGUCUACACCCGAUGUUAAAUGAUUUCACUAUCAUCCCUGGGCCGCACUUUGCCCCUGUUGACCUCUACCUGAGAGCAACGCCUGAGUCUCUCAGCCCUCUGAACGGCCCUCCCCUGGACCAUUCUGUUACAGGACACAGCCCACGUUAUGGCAUCACCACCCUCAGACUCACAGUUCGAGUGAUUGAUUUUGGAUUCUGCACGUUGCCUAAUUAAUAAAUAGGAGA
rnacentral:lncRNA from 1 species